UACGUAGGUGGCAAGCGUUGUCCGGAUUUAUUGGGUUUAAAGGGUUCGUAGGCGGCUUUGUAAGUCAGUGGUGAAAUAUGGCAGCUUAACUGUCAAGGUGCCAUUGAUACUGCAGAGCUUGAGUACAGAUGAGGUAGGCGGAAUUGACGGUGUAGCGGUGAAAUGCUUAGAUAUCGUCAAGAACACCGAUAGCGAAGGCAGCUUACUAAGCUGUAACUGACGCUGAGGCACGAAAGUGUGGGGAUCAAACAGG
rnacentral:rRNA from 1 species